rnacentral:rRNA from 1 species
AGAUUGAACGCUGGCGGCAUGCUUUACACAUGCAAGUCGAACGGCAGCACGGGGGCAACCCUGGUGGCGAGUGGCGAACGGGUGAGUAAGACAUCGGAACGUGUCCUAUUGUGGGGGAUAACCAGUCGAAAGACGGACUAAUACCGCAUAAGCUGGAGACAGGAAAGCGGGGGACCUGCGAGGGCCUCGCGCGAUUGGAGCGGCCGAUGUCCGAUUAGCUAGUUGGUAGGGUAAAGGCCUACCAAGGCGACGAUCGGUAGCUGGUCUGAGAGGAUGAUCAGCCACACUGGGACUGAGACACGGCCCAGACUCCUACGGGAGGCAGCAGGUGGGAAUUUUGGACAAGUGGGGCAACCUGAUCCAGCCAUGCCGCGUGAGUGAAGAAGGCCUUCGGUGUAAGCUCGUUUCGUAGGGAACGAAACGGUAGGA